rnacentral:rRNA from 1 species
UACGUAGGGGGCAAGCGUUGUCCGGAAUUAUUGGGCGUAAAGCGCGCGUAGGCGGUCCUUUAAGUCUGAUGUGAAAGCCCACGGCUCAACCGUGGAGGGUCAUUGGAAACUGGGGGACUUGAGUACAGAAGAGGAAAGCGGAAUUCCACGUGUAGCGGUGAAAUGCGUAGAGAUGUGGAGGAACACCAGUGGCGAAGGCGGCUCACUGGACCGGAACUGACGCUGAGGCGCGAAAGCGUGGGGAGCAAACAGG